GCCGCCUUAGCUCAGUUGGUAGAGCAUCGCAUUCGUAAUGCGAGGGUCGCAAGUUCGAGUCUUGCAGGCGGCACCA
rnacentral:tRNA from 1 species